rnacentral:rRNA from 1 species
GGAGCCCUGGGGGCCACCACAGGUGGAGAAGGAAGUAGGGGAGGAGAAGGGGCCCAGUAUGACUUUGGAAGAGUGGUCAGUUAGGAAGGAGGUAAGCCGGUCCAGUGCCCAUUCCGAGAUACCAAGGGUGUCAUGGAGCCUUUUUAUGAGGUUGAAGAGGUUCACUGUGUCAAGUGCAGAAGAGAGAUGAAGGAGGGCGAGGACAGCAGGGGAGUUGGAAUCAAGGGAUGCAAGCAGUUCUUCACAGGUGUUCAGAAGAGCAGUAUCCAUGCCUCUGGAUGCUCAGAAUACAGAUUGAUUCUUGUGGAGACCACCAACAAGUUCAGUGUGGUAGUUGGGGCAGGGCCAGCUUAUCGUGUACUUUCCCCAGGAAAGGGGGUGAUGUAGAUGGGGAAAAGUUGGCUUGGCAGGAAUGGUCUGCUGACAGUUUUUUAAGGAGGGGGCACACAAGCGAGUGCUUGAGGAAGGAUGGAAAAGAACCAGUAGCAAAGGACUUGUUACAAAGAUCAGCGAGAGCAGGGGUGAGAGAGAAAAUGUUGUCCUUGAUGGUUCUGGAUGAGCAAGGGGCAACCUCUUUGGAAGAGACCUUCAUGGAGUUGAUAACUCUGGUGACUUCUUUCAUAGAGACAGAGGUGAUGGAGGAAAAGGAGGAGGAGGAGGAGGGUGAGUGGUUCGGGGAGGUAAGGGGGGGAGGGAUGGGUUGUAAGACUGUGUGACAAGGUUGUUCAGUAUGUCUUGGGUCCUGGUGGUGAAGUGAGUGGUGAGUGCAUUGCAAAGGCCUGGGAGGGAAUAGGGGCAGUGGACGGGUCGACGAAUUCCCUGCAGAUUUUGAAGAGUUCAGCCGUGUUGUUGGACAUACUAGAUACUUGUGCCUGAAUGUGGUCCUUUUUUUGGUACGGAUAGAGAGUCUGUAAUGCCUUUGGAUAGGGCAGCAGGCCAGUUUGUCAGAGGGUGAAUUCUUACCAAGGAAAGUUCCACUGAGACUGGUUACACCUUGCCCUCUAGAGAAGUCUGAGAGUCUUGCAUCACCUCCAAAAGCUGACCCAUGUUUAGCGUUCCUUCCACUGACCCCAUGUCCUUUGCUUUCUCCACGGGUUAGGAUUUAUGUUUGGGCUGCCUGGUAUUGCCCCUCCUUGCAUUGUUCCAAUAUCUGUCACUAUUCCUUGACCAUCAUGUGACCAGACUCCACUUGGGGACUGGGCUCCUCUUUCCUCUGGGGCAUUCCUUAUUUGCUGCACGCCUGGAGUAGUCCGCGUGCAUACCACCAUCUCAUCACUCAUCCUCGAAUCCCUCUUGCUUCACCCCAGGGAUGAGCAAUCCCCAAACCUGCAGUAAAUUAAGGGAAACUUGCUCCGUGCUCCUCCUGUGAGCCACCAGGUCCACAGCUCUCAUCCUCACCUGUGCAGUGCCUUAACUUCCAGCACAUGGCUCACGGUGCACACAACAUUUGCAAGUGCCCUCUACCGUUGGCUUCUACAGUGUCACAUGUGCACCAUGUGCAGGGAGAGUCCUUCCCAAUCGUCUGAUGCUGCCUAUGCUGGACUUGUGAUCAACAAUAGCAGCCACAGUGCUAUGCACUGUCAUAGCACCCUGAGCAUGGAGCAAGCAGCCCAGCCAGUGUGCCUCCUCCUCUGAUGCACUCUUGGUGCAGCAGGCCCUACUCCCUACUAGGGGAUCUUUUUACCAAAGCACUGUUGUUGCCUCUCUCUCACUCCGUAACCCAACCUCGCCAGCCAUUCUGUAUCUUCUGCCACUGGUCCUCAGCCCUAUAGUGGACUUGCAACACUGUUGGAAUCAACUUCUUGGGAACAGCCUCCAGGAACUCCGAUGAGCGACAGGCUACUGCAAUCCCCAUCAACCAUUCAACUCAGGCACCACACUGUAAGUGCACAGAUCCCAGGUCAGCAUGCCUCAGGAAGCAACUAUUCAACAGAGGUUAUAUCGCCCUGGAGCAGCAGAGCUCACAGACCUGCUGCCAUUUUGGUGGGGCUCUAUAGCUCCAUGGCCUCACUGGUCCUUGUUAAUCUAGGGGAGUUGGUGUAGAUCUCACGCAAGCCCGUAUCCAUAUCCACAGCAGGGCUCCAAGGUGUACACCUCUGGCAUGUUGGAACAAUGAAGGUAAGGGAAGUAAGCAAUUCAGAUCCAUAACAUCAGGAUGAGAUUUGACUCUAAGGGCUGGGUGGGUGAGGCUGGUGCAUGUAGGAGGGCUGGUCAUGCACCACAGUGGGACGAGGCAUUUCCACCCCUGGGGGACCCACCAACUCUAGACGUGAGCUGGACCAUUCCUAUGGAUCACCCCAUCUGAGGUGGUGGCCUCUCUCUGUUGCCCUCUUGUGGUUCUGGGUCAGUGUUCUGCCUUUGCCAAUGCCUAGCAGCUGGCUUAGAACUGGUGCAGACCAGGGAAAUUCAACAGUUUAAUUUAAAGAAGACAUAACAAAGGCCAACGGCAGGUGGUGAUACAAUGUCAUGUAUGCAUAGUGCUCUGAAUGCCAAAGUGAAGUAAUUCAAUGUAUCACAGGUAAACGGCAGGAGUAACUAAGACUCGCUUAAGGUGGCCAAAUGCUAGAUCACCUCAUUGGUGUCACGCAAGAAUGGAUGACUGGGAUUCCCACUGUCUCUACUUACUAUCUAGUUACCACAGCUAAGGACAAAGGUUUGGCUGAAUAACUGGGGAAAGGAGACCCUGUUGGUCUUGACUCUAGUGUGGCACUGUGAGGAAACUUGAAAGUUGUAGGAUAGAUGGGUGGUCAUUGGGUCAGCAGUGAAAUACCACUAAUGUUAUCAUGUUUUCAUCCCCCUCGUAAGGCAGGGUGGCAAGCCAGGUGGGGCUCUCACAUUUGGCUCCAACCACCCGACUCCAACCAGGCACAACCCACUCCACGGACAUUGGCAGGUGGAGUGCUUGACUGGGGCGAUACACCUGUCCUACGAUAAUGCAGGUGUCCUAAGGCAAGCUCAGGGAGGACACACAUAUCCCAUAGAGAUGAAGGGCAAACCCUUGCAAGAUCUCGAUUUUACAUAUGUAGACAGUCUGUAUAACAGGAGCCUCAAGUUCCUUCUGACUUUUGUGUUUUCAGCAGGAGGUGUCUGACAAUUUCCAGAGGGAUAUCGGUCUUGUGGCAGCAAAGCAUUCAUAGUGACUUUGCAUUUUUAUCCUUCCAUGUCGGCUCUUCCUAUCUUUGUGAGGCAGAAUUCACCAAGCCUUAGAAAGCUCCCCCACUAAUAGGGAACGUGAGCUGGGUUUAGACCAGGCGUGGGAAAGAUUAGUUUAACUCUACUGAUGAUACGUUGUUGCAGUAUUUAUCCUGUUCAGUACAAGAGGAACCGCAUGUUCACACAUUGAGUGUAUGUGCUUGGCUGAGGAGCCAAUGGGGCGCAGCUAUCAUAUGUGGGAAUAUGACUGAAUGGCUCUAAGUUAGAAUCCCCCAUAAACUAUAAUGGUAAUACAGCACUGUGGAGCCUCGGUUGGCCUAGGAUAGCCAGCCCCUGGGCCAGUGCGUACAGCUGCAUGCCAUAGGACUCCAGUGUGGACAGAAGGGGGCAAACUCUCUUGCCCGUAGUGCACCACAUGUUCAUGGAUAAUGUGGUGCAUAAUCAUUUGUAGUCAAUCUGAUUCUGGGUCAGGGUUUUGCGAGUAGCAGAGCAGCUACCUUGCUGUGAUCUUUUGGAAAUCAUCCUCUGAGCCAAGGUUUUGUCCAAGACACUUACG